CACACACAUAGACACACACACACACACACAUAGACACACAUAGACAGACACAUAGACACACACACAUAGACACAUACACACACAACAUACAAGCUGCGGCAGAGAGUGGGCACACAAGCACCAACUGGAGAGAGCCAUGGAAAACCCAUCCACCACCUCAACCUUCACACCCCCUUUGUGCGUUGGCAUUGAAAGUUGGCUUUGGGGUUUUGAGAUCUCCACCUCUGCAACUACCCCUUGGCUUGCCAAUACAUUGGAGGUGGCAAUGCAGUUGCAGACUCACAUCAUGAGGGGAGAAAAACACCUGUGGGAUCACAACAUCUCACUUCAAGCUCUCUCCCUGCUGUCCUCUUACGUGUCCCAAGUCUUUCAGAACGUGUUAUUUUGCUUUUUAGAAAACAAAGAAGAGGAUUCACUCAUAUCAGCAGGAAACAUUUGAUUUCUCUGUUAAAGACACAAGGGAAACUGCAAAAAUGAGUGUUCUGCUGUUUUAGAGAUCACAAGUUCUUUAUAAUUAUUUCCAAAUUUGAUGUUAGAUUUGAGGAUUUUCCAGGACAACUAGCUUCCACAGAACUGCUGCAUUUGAGGCUAGUUUAAUGGUUAUGUUUAAUUGUUAUAUAGAUUGUAUUUUAUUGAAACUAAGCGAAUAUGAAUUCUAUUCCAAUGUCAGUCCUCUUUAAGACUGGCCAAGUUGGCUCAAAGUAUCACAUUAGAAAACCUGAUAUAAAAAUUUAAAAAUGGUGCUCAGUGCUUAGUGUAACAACUGUUAGUUAUACAUUUUCAUUCUUUGACACAUACUUUCGAUGAAAAACAUUAACAUACACAUAAACUUUACAGAUUUGUAUUUUCCUUUUAUAUGAACUCAUUAGCAUGUCAGGAACAAGAAUCUCAAAGUUGACUGAUAGUAAAAAUAGUUGUACAAUUCUAUGUGAUUUGAUAUUCUUAUAUUUUACAACUAUAGUUAGGAUGCUUAAAGCUGCAUUGUGUAAACUGGCAGUGCUGUCUAGCACCUGCA